rnacentral:rRNA from 1 species
ACGUGAGUGAUGAAGGCCUUCGGGUUGUAAAGCUCUUUCAGCAGGGAAGAUAAUGACGGUACCUGCAGAAGAAGCACCGGCUAACUCCGUGCCAGCAGCCGCGGUAAUACGGAGGGUGCUAGCGUUGUUCGGAAUUACUGGGCGUAAAGAGCGCGUAGGCGGUUUGUCAAGUUGGAAGUGAAAUCCCGGGGCUUAACCUCGGAACUGCUUUCAAAACUGGCUUACUAGAGUUAUGCAGAGGAUAGUGGAAUUCCUAAUGUAGAGGUGAAAUUCGU